GACAGAGGGUGCAAACGUUGCUCGGAAUCACUGGGCGUAAAGGGCGUGUAGGCGGGAAGGAAAGUCAGAUGUGAAAUCCCCAGGCUCAACCUGGGAACUGCAUUUGAAACUCCCUUUCUUGAGUACCGGAGAGGAAAGUGGAAUUCCUGGUGUAGAGGUGAAAUUCGUAGAUAUCAGGAGGAACACCAGUGGCGAAGGCGGCGACCUGGGUAGAUACUGACGCUGAGGCGCGAAAGCGUGGGGAGCAAACAGG
rnacentral:rRNA from 1 species